UAAUAACCUGAUAUAUAUAUUUAAUAAAAAAAUAUCCCACAAUAUAGGUGAUAUGUAUCACAUACAUCUUGAGAAAUCAAGGUAAGUAUAUAAAGAAACUAUUAUGGAUAGUUAGCGCUAUAUAUUUCAAGGUUCAUCUAGUAGGCUGCUAGAGAUCAAAGAGAAAUCUUAUAAUUAGACAAAGUGAAUUGAAAUAUCUUAGUAACUUUAGGAAAAGAAAUCAAACGAGAUUAUUAUUUGGUGUCAUCUAAAUAAUAAUAGCCUAUGUAUAUUAUAUAUAUAUACUAAUCUUUAAUAAUAAGUGUGUAGCUAGUAUAAUUUUAUAUUAGUCUAGUUUUUUUUUAGUAAAUAUAAGAAUGACGGAUGAAUGGUUUUAUUUUAAUAUAAUAUGUUUAGCUAGUAUAAUUUUAUAUUAGUCUAAUUUUAUAUUAGUGUAUUGUUAAAGAUUAGUAUAAUAAUAUAUAAGAGUAAAAUGGAAAAAAAUCUGUUUAAAUAUAGGGGAACCUUCCUCUAAGGCUAAAUAAAAUAUAUAAGCGAUAGUGUAGAAGUACCGUGAGGGAAAAAGUUGAAAUAGUAGUUUUAUAAGCAGCUCAAGUAAAAUUUUAAAUAAAUAAUAAGAGUGUACCUUUUGCAUAAUGGGUCAGCAAGUUAAUUUUAGAUGCAAGCGAAUGAUAAUAUAUUAACAUAUAUAUAUAUUUUGCUUAGAUAAACCAAUUAUGAAAAAAUGAAUAAGUAUCUAGGAUUAGACCCGAAGGCUAGUGACCUUACCAUGGUCAGGGUUGUAAAAGCCCGAACGGGUUAUCGUUGUAAAGAUAUCCGAUGAACUGUGGUAAGUUAGUGAAAGACAAAACUGACUAGUAUAGCUGGUUUUCCGCGAAACCUAUGUAAGUAGGUAAUUUAAUUAACAUCUUAGCAGGUACAGAACUGUGAUCUCGGACAAUACAAGUGUAUUUGUCAAUAUCGGGGGGUUGUAGUGACUUUACCGGAGAGUAUUUGCACUCGGAAGGGCAAAGAUGAAUGUUAAAUAAUCGGACAUAGUGCGAUAAGGUUGUAUGUCUAAAGGGAAACAGCCCAGAACAAGAGUUAAGGUUCCAAAAUUAUUGUUAAGUGAAAUUAAGGAUGUUUUUUUUCAAAACAAUCAGGAAAUAGGCUUAGAAGCGGCCAUUUUUUGAAGACCUCGUAACAGAGCACUGAUUAAAUGUUAGAUUAAAACACCGAAAAUUUAACGGAUCUAAAAUAAUAUACCGAAACCUUGUACACAUAAUAUGUGGGGUAGCGGAACAUUGGAUAAAAGAUAAGAAUGAAUACCUCUAAGAGGUAUCAUUUAGGAGACUUGGAGUAAUAAAAUAUCUUAUCUUAAGAUAAUAUCUUAUCAUAAGAUAAUAUCAAAUCAUAAGAUAAUAUCUAAUUAUAAGAUUUUUAUGAAACAUGGUAUAAAUAUCAAAUCAUAAGAUAUACGAUAAAAAAUUCCAAGAGAGAAUGCUGACAUGAGUAACGAAAAAGGCUUUUAGCCUCGCCUUAAGCUUAUGGCUUCUAUCUCAAAUCGGUGUCUAAAAAUAUUAAUCAAAUGAUAAUUUUGAUGAUGUAAAAUAUAUACUUUAAAAAGAGUAAAAAUACAAAACCUUUAAUAAGUAAUAAAGGUUCUGGAAAAAGUUUUACGAAGGUUAUAUAUAAACUUCUUUUUAGCAUAAUUAGUGCAACUUUCUAUGGAGUGCAUAUUUCUAUAGAAAGGAGAUGUGAGUGUGGAAGUCUCACUAAAAGAAGCUCUAUAAUCAGGAAUAUUCACCGUACCUAGAAUCUAUCCCAAGUGAGCAAGUAGAGUAUACAAAGGCGUUUGAGUGAACAAUCAUUAAGGAACUCGGCAAAUUGACUCUGUACCUUCGGAAUAAGGAGGGCCAUUAUUAUUAAUUUAACAUAAAUAACAAAAGUUAUUUAUGAUAAAAAUUAAAUUAAUAAUAAGAGGAAUCAUAAAAUAAUGUUGUACGACUGUUUAAUAAAAACACAGCACUCUGCAAAGAUGAAAAAUCAAAGUAUUGAGUGUGAUGUCUGCCCAAUGUCGGCUGGCUAACGGAUUUACCUUGGUUAUUAACUGAGGUUUUGAAGGACACCCCGAUUAAUGGCGGCCUUACCUAUGAGGGUCCUAAGGUAGCGAAAUACCUUGGCCGUUAAAUGCGGUCCUGCAUGAAUGAUUUAACGAUGCAACAGCUGUCUCGAUGAUUGUCUCAGUGAAAUUGGAGUAGCAGUGCAGAUACUGUUUACCUCUAGAUAGACGAGAAGACCCUAUGCAGCUUUACUGUUACUAAUUAACUUGAGAACAAGUUUAGGAUGAUUUAUAGCGUAUAAGGUAGUUGAAAGAUAACAAUGAAACACCUUUAUUCGUAUCCUAUUAUAAUCUCUUGAUGAUUAGGAGGCAGUUUAUGCGGGGCACAGAUCCCACAAAAAGUACCUGGGUAUAUCCAAAGUUCAUAUUGUAAACUUGUAUGUUUACAUACAAAUAUUUUAAUUUGUUAUAGUUAUUCUUAUAACUAUACAGUUACUAUUCGAUUAAAUUCUAUAUUUAUUUUUUUUUAAGUAAGAUUUUAACUAUAUGGUAAAUAGAUGUAUUUUAAACUUUAACCCCCUUGUGGACUUAUUCAAGUCCCCUCGGUGGGUCAUAUUUAAAAGUUUAUUGUUAUAUUAAUAUAGUAUUUGUAUAUAUUAAUAUGAUAUUUAUUUAUACUUUAAAAGUUUAAUGGCUUAAUCUUGCUUUACUGUUUGACCUACGAGUCUAUCAGUCGCGUAAGCGGGGCAUAUGAUCACAAGAUGCAUUAAGGAAAGGUCUUGGAUUAUAGAAAAAGUUACGCUAGGGAUUUAUAACUGUGAGUCCUCCAAUAUUAUAAAAUAUUGGUAAUAUAUUGGGUAAAUUUCAAAGACAACUUAUUUUUAUUUAAGUGUAUUUGAAGCGAAACUUAUUUUAAGCAUAUAUUUAUCAAUAAGAUAAAUUUAAAUAAGGACGUUCAACGACUAAAAGGUGAGUAUU
rnacentral:rRNA from 1 species